rnacentral:lncRNA from 1 species
GACAUACCAAUACUACAACUAACUGUUUUAAUGCAUUGAAUAUCAAAGAUACCAAAACAAAUCAUGCUAUAUAUUCUGCUAUGCCAAAGCCAAGCAAUAAAUAUCCCUAGAAAGUGCAGCAUAGCUCACAUACCUUCUAUUUCUCCUGGCUAUCAAUAUUCAUCGCGUUAUUAUUGGAGGUUUCACUAUAGAUGCUUGAAAUAUCAUGACCAAAGUUAGUGUAGUAAUUAUAUUUAUUGUCACUGUAGUAAUGUACCGAUGAAGAUGAUGAUGUUGUAGGACUAAGA